rnacentral:rRNA from 1 species
GACGAACCGUGCGAACGUUGUUCGGAAUCACUGGGCUUAAAGGGCGCGUAGGCGGCGAGCGAGGUCGGGGGUGAAAUCCCACAGCUUAACUGUGGAAGAGCCUUCGAUACCGGCCCGCUGGAGGAAGGUAGGGGUGCGCGGAACUUCUGGUGGAGCGGUGAAAUGCGUUGAUAUCAGAAGGAACGCCGGCGGCGAAAGCGGCGCACUGGACCUUUUCUGACGCUGAGGCGCGAAAGCCAGGGGAGCAAACGGG